rnacentral:rRNA from 1 species
GGAAUAUUGCGCAAUGGCCGAAAGGCUGACGCAGCGACGCCGCGUGUGGGAGGAAGCCCUUCGGGGUGUAAACCACUGUCGGGAGGGACGAAACCCGGGCACUCGAAUCGGGUGCUCGAUUGACGGUACCUCCAACGGAAGCGCCGGCUAACUCCGUGCCAGCAGCCGCGGUAAGACGGAGGGCGCAAGCGUUGUGCGGAAUCACUGGGCGUAAAGCGCACGCAGGCGGUCUCUUAAGUCCACUGUUAAAUCACGGGGCUCAACCCCGGAGGUGCAGCGGAUACUGAGGGACUGGAGACUGGUAGAGGCUAGCGGAAUUCCUGGUGUAGCGGUGGAAUGCGUAGAUAUCAGGAGGAACACCGGUGGCGAAGGCGGCUAGCUGGGCCAGUUCUGACGCUCAUGUGCGAAAGCGUGGGGAGCAAAC